rnacentral:lncRNA from 1 species
UACUAUGGUUCUUGAUAUAAUACUAGCUUAACAUGAAGGAAGGCAUGUGUCGUAUUCUUAACACUUCACCAUUAUGACUUAAAAUAAUUUAAACAAAGAACUUAGAUCUCAUGUACAUCUAAAAUAUAUAGUAUAAAAAUACAUCAUAUAUAAUUUUAAAUUUUAAUUCUAACUAUCAGGAUGUAAGAGCAUAUAAAGAAAAUCUAAUGGUUAUGGACUUUUGAAAAAUCAUUCGAGCC